CUGAAGUCCGUGUUAAUGGUUACAUAAAAACUGUGUUGGUAGCGUGGCAAGCAAAUCAUGAUUUACAGUUUGUUAUAGAUGCAUUUGCAUGUGCAGUGUAUAUUGUUUCAUACAUAAGCAAGUCACAAAAAGGUACGAGUGCAUUAUUAGACCAAGCAGCAAAAGAAGCACGACAGGGAAAUUUAGACUUGAAGCAUCAGGUAAGGCACAUUGGUAAUUACUUUUCAAAUUCGGUUGAAACAAGUGCACAAGAAGCAACAUACUUAACACUACAGAUGCCUUUAACAAAAGCUACAAGACAAGUUGUAUUCAUUAAUACAUCUCCACGAGA
rnacentral:lncRNA from 1 species